rnacentral:rRNA from 1 species
GUUGUUGCACUUUAGGGUUUCCUUAAUUCAACAUCGAGGUCGCAAACCUUUUUUUUAAUUAGGACUUUAAAAAAGAUAACGCUGUUAUCCCUGAAGUAAUUUGGUUUUUAAGCUUUUUAGGGUCAUUUAAUUCACUUAUGUGUGUUUAAAGUAGAACAGGUGAGUUAUUUAUUCUAGCCGCCCCAGCCAAACUAAUUUUUUUUGAAAUCUGAUCUUUGUUCAAUUAAGUUAAAUUUUACAGGGUCUUGUCGUCUUUUAAUAAGUUUUCAGGAUUUUAACUGAAAUCUAAUUUUUUGGUGUUUAAGGAAUAGUUGAUUUUCGUGGUACCUUUCAUUCAAGUCUAAAAUUAAUAGACAAUGUAUUAUGCUACCUUUGUACAGUUAGAAUACUGCAGCUCUUUAUUGGACAGUGUGCAGGUGUGACUACUUAUUUAUCAAGUAGACAUGUUU